AGUUUGAUCCUGGCUCAGGACGAACGCUGGCGGCGUGCUUAACACAUGCAAGUCGAACGCUGAACCUCGCUUGCGGGGGGAUGAGUGGCGAACGGGUGAGUAACACGUGGGCAACCUGCCCCCGGCUCUGGGAUAACUCCAAGAAAUUGGGGCUAAUACCGGAUGUGACCGCUGGCCGCAUGGUCUGGUGGUGGAAAGUUUUUUCGGCUGGGGAUGGGCCCGCGGCCUAUCAGCUUGUUGGUGGGGUAGUGGCCUACCAAGGCGACGACGGGUAGCCGGCCUGAGAGGGUGACCGGCCACACUGGGACUGAGACACGGCCCAGACUCCUACGGGAGGCAGCAGUGGGGAAUAUUGCGCAAUGGGCGGAAGCCUGACGCAGCGACGCCGCGUGGGGGAUGACGGCCUUCGGGUUGUAAACCUCUUUCAGCUCCGACGAAGCGAGAGUGGCGGUAGGAGCAGAAGAAGCACCGGCCAACUACGUGCCAGCAGCCGCGGUAAUA
rnacentral:rRNA from 1 species